UAGGGAAUAUUGGGCAAUGGGCGAAAGCCUGACCCAGCCAUGCCGCGUGGAGGACGAAGGCCCUCUGGGUUGUAAACUUCUUUUAUCACAGAGUAAAGCAAAGUAUAGCAUAUUUUGCGUGUAAGUAUGUGAGGAAUAAGCCACGGCUAACUACGUGCCAGCAGCCGCGGUAAUACGUAGGUGGCAAGCGUUGUCCGGAUUUACUGGGUUUAAAGGGUGCGUAGGCUGUUAUAUAAGUCAUCGUUAAAAGGCUCUUGCUUAACGAGAGAUCGGCGAUGAUACUGUAUAGCUUGAGUUAGGAUGAGGUUGCCGGAACGAGUAGUGUAGCGGUGAAAUGCAUAGAUAUUACUCAGAACACCAAUUGCGCAGGCAAGCAACUGGGCCUAAACUGACGCUGAGG
rnacentral:rRNA from 1 species